rnacentral:tRNA from 1 species
GGCUGGAUAGCUCAGUGGGUUGAGCGCGGUGCUGAUAACACUGAGAUCGCGAGUUUGACUCUCAUUCGGUCCG